GGAAGAAGACGACGAUAAAGAUGAAGAUAAUGUAGUGUUAGUUAUAAUAGAGGAAAAUGAAGAAAGAGAUACUGAAGAAGAUGAUGAAGAAGGAGAAGAAGAGACACGCUUUUGAAUAAUUGAAGAAGAAGAAGAAGGACGAGAAAUUUUUGGAGAUAUGGGAGCUUGUGAAAUCACAAGCUUAUCUUUAACACAUUCAUGGUU
rnacentral:lncRNA from 1 species